GAUGAACGCUGGCGGCGUGCCUAAUACAUGCAAGUCGAGCGAACAGACGAGGAGCUUGCUCCUCUGACGUUAGCGGCGGACGGGUGAGUAACACGUGGAUAACCUACCUAUAAGACUGGGAUAACUUCGGGAAACCGGAGCUAAUACCGGAUAAUAUAUUGAACCGCAUGGUUCAAUAGUGAAAGACGGUUUUGCUGUCACUUAUAGAUGGAUCCGCGCCGCAUUAGCUAGUUGGUAAGGUAACGGCUUACCAAGGCAACGAUGCGUAGCCGACCUGGGAGGAUGAUCGGCCACACUGGAACUGAGACACGGUCCAGACUCCUACGGGAGGCAGCAGUAGGGAAUCUUCCGCAAUGGGCGAAAGCCUGACGGAGCAACGCCGCGUGAGUGAUGAAGGUCUUCGGAUCGUAAAACUCUGUUAUUAGGGAAGAACAAAUGUGUAAGUAACUAUGCACGUCUUGACGGUACCUAAACAGAAAGCCACGGCUAACUACGUG
rnacentral:rRNA from 1 species